rnacentral:rRNA from 1 species
CCUGGUAGCGGGGGAUAACUAUUGGAAACGAUAGCUAAUACCGCAUAAUAGUAGAUGUUGCAUGACAUUUGCUUAAAAGGUGCAAUUGCAUCACUACCAGAUGGACCUGCGUUGUAUUAGCUAGUUGGUGAGGUAACGGCUCACCAAGGCAACGAUACAUAGCCGACCUGAGAGGGUGAUCGGCCACACUGGGACUGAGACACGGCCCAGACUCCUACGGGAGGCAGCAGUAGGGAAUCUUCGGCAAUGGACGGAAGUCUGACCGAGCAACGCCGCGUGAGUGAAGAAGGUUUUCGGAUCGUAAAGCUCUGUUGUAAGAGAAGAACGAGUGUGAGAGUGGAAAGUCACACUGUGACUGGAUCUACCAGAAAAGGACGCA